GUGGGGAAUUUUGGACAAUGGGGGCAACCCUGAUCCAGCCAUGCCGCGUGCGGGAAGAAGGCCUUCGGGUUGUAAACCGCUUUUGUCAGGGAAGAAAUCCUUUGGGUUAAUACCUCGGAGGGAUGACGGUACCUGAAGAAUAAGCACCGGCUAACUACGUGCCAGCAGCCGCGGUAAUACGUAGGGUGCGAGCGUUAAUCGGAAUUACUGGGCGUAAAGCGUGCGCAGGCGGUUUUGUAAGAUCGAUGUGAAAUCCCCGGGCUCAACCUGGGAACUGCAUUUGUGACUGUAUAGCUAGAGUACGGUAGAGGGGGAUGGAAUUCCGCGUGUAGCAGUGAAAUGCGUAGAUAUGCGGAGGAACACCGAUGGCGAAGGCAAUCCCCUGGACCUGUACUGACGCUCAUGCACGAAAGCGUGGGGAGCAAACAGGAUUAGAAACCCGUGUAGUCC
rnacentral:rRNA from 1 species